UUGUUGUUGUUUUUUGUAUAGCUAGUAGUAAUCAUGUUUUAUUGCAGAUGAACAAGUCAGCACUUCUACUUUUGCUUCUCAUCGGACUUCUCGUCCUCACUGAAACUACAACUGCUUGGUGGGUUGGUAGUCGUCGUCGUCGUCGCAGUGUUACUCGUCGUCGUGCCCAUUAUGACCAACAGGAAAUGCCACAAAUGAACGAAAAUUCAGACAUGAAUUUCUUCAAAUCGAUUGCUGAAGAACAAUAAGUGUUCAUUUAUGUUUAAGCUGCAAAUGUACAGUUUUAAUAAAUUAAACAUCAGCAAAUAUAAA